CCCUUAGAUGUUCUGGGCCGCACGCGCGCUACACUGAUGCAUUCAACGAGUCUAAAACCUGCUCUGAUAGGGGUGGGUAAUCUUUUGAAUGUGCAUCGUGAUUGGGAUAGAUGAUUGCAAUUUUUCAUCUUCAACGAGGAAUGCCUAGUAAACGCAAGUCAUCAGCUUGCAUUGAUUACGUCCCUGCCCUUUGUACACACCGCCCGUCGCUCCUACCGAUUGAAUGAUCCGAUGAAUAUCAUGGAUUGAGGAUGCAAGCAGGUUCGCCUGUCUUCAUCUUCGAGAAGUGAAGUAAAUCUUAUCCUUUAGAGGAAGGAGAAGUCGUAACA
rnacentral:rRNA from 1 species